rnacentral:rRNA from 1 species
AUGGCAAGCACCUACCUCUCAAGCUUCCAGGCCACCGCCCGUAGCGGCGGCGCGUCACCGAGGCCGAGGCCAAGAGUGGUGACAUGCCACGCCUCCGAGCCGUCGGGCCGGCGAUCAGCUUGCCUCAGUCUAGGUCUCGGCCUUGCCACCGCCGCUCAGCUCCACACAGCGCCCGCCCGCGCCACCGCUGACGCCGACGAGGACCCGGAGCCGGCCAACAACGGCUGGUGGCUCACCGAGUUCCCCCUGCCAGUGCCCAAGAUCCGCAACAAGGAGAUCAACAAUGGCGAGACAGGGACGCGAUCCUUUGUGAAGAACGGCAUCUACAUGGCGGACAUCGGGCCAAGCUUCGCGGCGCACGCCUACCGGGUGCGCAGCUCCGCCUUCGACCUGCUGGCGCUGGAGGACCUGCUCGGCAAGGAGGCCUCCAACUAUGUCAACAAGUACCUCCGCCUCAAGGCCACCUUCAUAUACUACGACUUCGACAAGCUCAUCACCGCGACAGAUCCCGACGCCAAGCCGCCGCUUCUCGACCUAGCCAACCGCCUCUUCCACAGCUUCGAGAAGUUGCAGGCGGCCGUCACCACCAAGGAUGACGCUGACAUAGGAUCCUGCUAUGCUGACUCAAAGCUCAUACUGCAGGAAGUCAUGACAAGAAUGGCCUAG